AACGAACGCUGGCGGCAGGUCUAACACAUGCAAGUCGAGCGAACCCUUCGGGGUUAGCGGCGGACGGGUUAGUAACGCGUGGGAAUAUACCCUUUGGUACGGAAUAGCCUCGGGAAACUGAGAGUAAUACCGUAUGUGCCCUUCGGGGGAAAGAUUUAUCGCCAAAGGAUUAGCCCGCGUUGGAUUAGAUAGUUGGUGGGGUAAUGGCCUACCAAGUCUACGAUCCAUAGCUGGUUUGAGAGGAUGAUCAGCAACACUGGGACUGAGACACGGCCCAGACUCCUACGGGAGGCAGCAGUGGGGAAUCUUAGACAAU
rnacentral:rRNA from 1 species